GAGAGAGAAUGUGUGCACGCAGAUAUAAGAAGUUGGGGUUGAUGAUCCACAUGAUGGUGAUGGACCAGGACAGCUCUGGACCUCCUGACUGGCAGCUCCAUCCUCAACCUCUUCCUGCCCUUCACACAUGUGCAGGCAGAGAGGCAGUUUUCUGAAGGAUGGUUGAUGUCAGUACCAACAUGUUGUGAUGGAGGCUUCCACCUGAGCUGAACACAGAAACUUGCACACAGUGAUGGAAGCAGUCGUUCCUGUUCAGCAUUGAUAUGCCGGUAAUGGGUUUGAUGAGCCACAGCAUGGUGAUGGGCAAUCAGCAUCAGGACCAGGGCCGCUCACAAGGAGAACCUCCUGCCCUGCCUCUUCAUCCUCAACCUCCAAUCUUCCUGCUCUUCACACAUGUGCAGGCACGGAGCCAGCUUUCAGAGGGAGGGCUGAUGACACCAGCAACUUCGGAUCUGAACCUGAUCAACCCAGCACCAACCACUGUGCCGCUCCUCCUCUGCCAACUGCACCACAUGGCUCCACCAUCUCAAAAAGGCACAGACACUACUCCACUUCCUGCGAAGGAUGAGAGAAGAGCCGACCUCCCCACAUCGGCACUCACCACCUUCUACAGGGGUGUCAUUGAGAGCACCCUGGCCAGCAGCCUCUCUGUCUGGCAUGGCAGCCGUCAAGAGUGGUGAGGACAGCAGAAAAGCUCAUAAGAUCACCCCUACCAGCCAUUCCGGAUCUGUACACUUCACACUGUUCCAAGAGGGCAAUGAACAUCAUAAAGACACAACUCAUCCAGCACACAGACCGCCCUCCCUACUACCAUCAGGGAAGCGCUAGCCCACCAUGCGGUGCUGCAAAAGCACACUGGGAAACGGCUUCUUUCCACAAGCCAUCAGACUCCUCAACGCACUGAAGAAAACCACAUGAAUAACCAAGGACACGAGAGAAUAUUCCAUGAACACUUCUUUCACCAUGCCACUUACACUUUACUCAUUGCACCUUGUAUACAGCAUCUUCACAUCACCUGUAUGAACUCCUCCUGCCAUGUGUGUGUGUGUCCACUGUGUUUGUGUAUUUAUUGUCCAUCAGUAUGUUAAUUGCACACUGUUUGGGUGUGAGUGUAUUUAUAGUAUGUAUCAGUCUGUAUUUAAUGUCAAUGCCUUAUUUUUAGUUAUUAGUUAAAUGCACAUUGGAGACUGGUCAAACACAAUUUCAAACUUUGUGUUAACCCUCCAUAGUCUAAUCUACUGUACUAGGCUAUCAACAGACCACACAGUUGAGUGCUGUUUUAUGCACUCUGAAUAUGAGGAGAGGAAGAGGUGACCGUUCACACUUCAUAGUGUAAAAGUAAACGGAAAUAAAUUUUCACAUUUCA